GGGCUUGUGGUUUAGUGGUAUAAUACUCCCUUAGCAUCUGCGUGUCUUUCGAGACGUCCGCGACGGUUUGGGAGUGGUCCGGGGUUCGAUUCCCCGCGAGUCCA